CUCGGGCUGUCCGUCAACCCACAGCCCAGAGAGGACCCGGUGCCCCCCUCCAGCCACAGGUGGGGGUGGACACUGCUCUGAUGGGGCGAGCACCUGUCUCAGCUUCCAGAUCCAGACUCACAGCCACGCUGCCAAUUCCUGUCUGUGCAAAACAGGACACAGAGCCAUUGAGGAAACAGCCCUGCAGGGCCAGGAGAGAAGCACCAGGCUCUGGAUAAACACUCCGGGUGCCUGCUCCUCGGCACCGAGAUGAGGCCGCAGAGAUGAGGGGCAGCGGGUGAGUCCCGGGCGCGGCCGUUUCUUUUAAAAACGCAGGUACUCACCCCCUCUGGUGGCAGUCGCCGGAAUUGCAGGCACAGCCUCCACGUGGUCAGGCUCCUCCCACGGCGCUCCCACCCCCAUAGCGCCUGUGGGGAGAGAGCCGGGGGUGACAGUUUGAAGCCAGAUCUUAAUUCUCUGCUCAAGAAUUGAACCUGGGCAGCCUGCAUGAAAACCAGGA
rnacentral:lncRNA from 1 species